rnacentral:rRNA from 1 species
UACAGAGGGGGCAAGCGUUGUUCGGAAUUACUGGGCGUAAAGGGCGCGUAGGCGGCCUGCUAAGUCGAACGUGAAAUCCCCGAGCUCAACUCGGGAACUGCGUCCGAUACUGGCAGGCUUGAAUCCGGGAGAGGGAUGCGGAAUUCCAGGUGUAGCGGUGAAAUGCGUAGAUAUCGGGAGGAACACCAGUGGCGAAGGCGACUUUCUGGCCUGUUCUUGACGCUGAGGCGCGAAAGCUAGGGGAGCAAACGGG